GCCACAGCAAGGCGAGCAGCGGCUCACGCUGGGGCGGCUGUGACUCGAGGGCCCACAGUGACAUCUGCUGGAACCGCUCCUUCCGAAGGGCCGCUGGAAGGAUUGGUCAAGCCCACACGAGCUCCGUUCCAAAGGCAAAGGAAUCGAGCUGAAGUUCAUCACAGGAUUGACAAGCACCUACUUUGGCAUUGUGGGUUAAGCCUUUCCAGGUGACCUUUCCAUACGCUGAGGCAGCACAGAAGAGGAAAGAGAAACUGGCAGCAAACAACAAAAUUCAGAGGGAGAACAGAGAAGUCCACAGCUCAUUUUGCAAAACUCAGAGGUUGGGCAUCCUGAAGCUUCCAGGAGCGGCAGCAGGACAGAGAGAAGGAAAGAAAGUGCAGGAGAAACAGGCAUCACGGAAACUGGAAAGGGAAGAAAGUUUUUUUACAAUUCCUCAUAAGAAAUGCAGUAACAGGUGUUCCAUGCUUUUCUGUAUCCAAAACUUGCAGAACCACAACAACCUCCCUCCCUUAAAAUUGAAUGGAAAAUAGGAAAGUCAGGAGGAGCUGACUCAUGAACUAUUGAAAUCCAAGUUACUUACUUAAUUUUAAAAUUUUAGUUACCCAGUUACAAAGUCUCGACUCUUCUAAUGCUGCAAUCAUAUUUAUAAAGUGCUUUAUCCUAUUUUGGAAGCCUGGAGACUACAAAUAAAUCAUGACCUAACCAGAAAAAGCCUCUCUGGAGGAAGUUGUCACCAGUGUGUAGAAUAUUUUACAUGGGCAGGGGGACAAUUCAGAAUGGGAAUUACCAAAGGUGACCUCUGAUUUUUUUGCCCCCCAAAGAGCCAAAAAGUGAGUUAAAUGGCUUAAACUGUAGAUUCAAAGAAGGCUUGAAAAUGCAACAACUUGGUUAUCACGUUCCUGAGUACAGACACAUGGCACAGCUAUUCAGUUCAAAGACAAGCAGGGAAGAAAACAAAACAAUCCAAACCCAGACAGGGCAGCUGUCUAGAUAUCUCCAUAAACAGGCCAGGUUUUCUGCUUUCAUUUCAACAAAGCAAUGUCUCACUCAUGGAGGAUCUGGCCAAAGUUUUCAGACUGUGUGAAAUACUAACAAACUCCUAUUCAUGUGAAUAUGGAGAGUAAGAGGGUUUUAUUAAAUUGUAAAUCUGCUGCUAAUUCAUCAGUCUAGUCUGCAAAUGCCAAUUAAAAAACCCCACAUGUUUUGAGGAUAAAAAUUAAAUGUUUUGACUUUGAUGAGACUAUUCAUGUGUCUGAACAUGUGUUUAUGGUCUUUUCUGGCUGGAGGCCUUACUGCAAAUCCUUUAUUCUUUAGUGCUACUGGAAUAGGAAAUAAGCAAUAAGAACAGUUUUCACUUGUCUCCAAGAAAUUUUAAUAUUUGGCUUUUAGCAGAUAUUUCCCUGAGUUUCUCAGGAAACAUUAAAAUCUAGUGAGUCCACAAACUUUUGGGGGCUUUUUUUACUGUACUUAAAAUCUGAUCCAUGGUAAUACAGAUAAAAACAAUGGGAUUUCUGUUUGACAGAAUUGGUCAGAGUGGAUGUUUUUAUGUUUACCCUAGAUCUGGGGAGAAGCUUUGUAUAUUUGGGGGAAAAAAAAUCUGAAAUAUAUCUGCCAUAGCAUAUAUAUUGCCACUACACAGGGAGAUUUAAUGUUGGAGUGAUCCAGCACAAACCAUUCUGAAUUAAUGAAGCAAACUGAGCUAUUUCUAUUCAGGUGAUCUAACACAAAGUUAAAUAUUUGUUUUGCUGUUCAUCAUAGAAAACAUUUGUGGGCUGGUUUGUUUGGGUUUGUUUUGGAGGGUUUUGCCCAAAAUUAAGAAAAAAAAUAUAAAUUAUAAAAAUAAAUUCACCACAGUUAUUUGUUGAAAAUUCGGUUAUGCAGGGAAUUUGCCAACCACCUCUGACCAGCCAUCAUCAACAUAUUUAUAUAGGUUUCACUGCUAAAUGCACCUCACCUGCUGGCACUCCUACCAGAUGAAAACAUUUUAAAGACUUGAUAAUAUUUCUAUUUUAUCCCUGUGUAAGUUCAUGUAGAUGCCACUGAAGGGCAUUCCCAUUCUGUUCAAAUAUUGGAUCCUUGGUUCAAACCUUGAAUCCUUAGUUCAAAGUUCCUUAUUAUAUCAAAAUUCUAAAUUCCUAAUAAUUACUGACAGUCAGAAUGUGUUCCAUUUUCUAAUUUUUUUUUUCUUGAAAGUUUUAGAUAUUGAGUUUAUUUUUCAGAACAUACAUGAUCUGAUUGUGAA